ACGGGUGAGUAAUGCCUAGGAAUCUGCCUGAUAGUGGGGGAUAACGUCCGGAAACGGACGCUAAUACCGCAUACGUCCUACGGGAGAAAGCAGGGGACCUUCGGGCCUUGCGCUAUCAGAUGAGCCUAGGUCGGAUUAGCUAGUUGGUGGGGUAAAGGCUCACCAAGGCGACGAUCCGUAACUGGUCUGAGAGGAUGAUCAGUCACACUGGAACUGAGACACGGUCCAGACUCCUACGGGAGGCAGCAGUGGGGAAUAUUGGACAAUGGGCGAAAGCCUGAUCCAGCCAUGCCGCGUGUGUGAAGAAGGUCUUCGGAUUGUAAAGCACUUUAAGUUGGGAGGAAGGGUCGUUACCUAAUACGUGACGAUUUUGACGUUACCGACAGAAUAAGCACCGGCUAACUCUGUGCCAGCAGCCGCGGUAAUACAGAGGGUGCAAGCGUUAAUCGGAAUUACUGGGCGUAAAGCGCGCGUAGGUGGUUUGUUAAGUUGGAUGUGAAAUCCCCGGGCUCAACCUGGGAACUGCAUCCAAAACUGGCAAGCUAGAGUAGGGCAGAGGGUGGUGGAAUUUCCUGUGUAGCGGUG
rnacentral:rRNA from 2 species